UUGUAUGCCGGAAGGGAUAAAUCUGGGGCUGAGUACAAGCAAAACAAGACCAAAGGAAGCUACCUGAGCAGGUAUUCCAGAUACUCAUGUCAUACACCAAGGUUGUACCAGUGCCCCUUUCUCUGUGACACAUCCAUCCACUGGAAACUUUCGUACAACUAGCUGAAAGAAGAGAAACAUCCUAUUUCAUGUCACUGGAGCCCUAAUGAUCGCAGCCAUUUCAGGAAAUGCCAUCAAUUACAGUGAGGAGCUCAUUCAGAAGUGAAAGAUGAGUUCCAUUCUCUGUUACUUAGAGGACAAUAGAUUAUAUUGGAUGUAGAUGAAGUUUGGGCAGAAUCAGGGAUCAAUGGCUCCAUCUAAAUUGUUGCACCAAAACACAGACAUACACCUGCUUUUAGAUUUGAAGAGUGAAUCCUCUCUGGAAAAUGUAGCAACUACUCAAAAAAGGUUGGAGGACCAACACUUCUAAGAAGCAGGAGGUAUUACAAAGCUCAAAUCUGAGAAAACCUUGUCUACCAUCAACCCUGACCUACAGAGGAGAGGCACCCCCAAGCUUAUUAGUGAUCCUGUCUCCGUCUUAUUGGCACAUCCUGAUGGCCUUGAUCUCUAGUUCUUCCUGUGGAGCAUAACCAUAUGGUUCUUUGCCAAGAUGUUAAGACCAAAGUCGGAGAGUGAACCCCAUGUCAAUGAAUUCUUGUUUUUCUGAUCUUACAUUCCAUCACUUUGAUCCAGUACUCUCAAAAUGCAAUCACAGUUGUACAUGUCUUCUCCUGUCAAUAAACGCUACCUUAGUACUGCA
rnacentral:lncRNA from 1 species